AGAAGUACUUCUCUGGACAUUUCGAGGCAGCCAGGUGUCCUUGAAGAGUUCUGUAUCAGUGCCUGCCAGUUAUGAGACACAAAUAGGAUGCUUUUUGAGUGGGGAAAGAAGAGGAGAUUACUGUUGCCUGGAGAGGAGAGGAGAAAAGUGAGAAGGAGGUGGCUUGUUCCUUUGACAAUAGUAAGGUGUGCUCCAAUAGGCCUUUGAAAAGGCCUUUACUUGAUAACAUAAGGAGGGGAACACAGGGAACUUACUGGGAAUCUGAAGCCGGAAGAGGAGUAAGAGCAGGCAGAUCUGUCCUUGUAGGAAAAUAGAAAGGGGCCGGAUGGCCCACAAGUUGGGUUCUACCCUGGGAAAAAGAAACAUACUCGGAAAUUGGUGCUCACUGAUUCCAUUACUUCUCAGCUCCCCUGAGUCCGCUCUCUGAGAUCUCUAAAGACUUCCAUUCCGAGGGUGUGUGUGCAACACCACCUAGUCAGGAUGUAUUUGGCACCUCCCAUGGUAGGCCCUGCCUUCUCAAACUCUCUGCAAUGCAUGAUCCUUAAACACACACACACACACACACACACACACACACACUCACACACUCACACGAAGAGAGAAUCCUUGUGUACCCAUCUCCUAGCAUCAACGAUUAUCAGCAUUUUGCCAUACUUGUUUUAUCAGUUUCUCCCAACAAUUCCCUCCUUAGAGAAUUUUAGACAAUCCCAACCAUCACCUAUAAGUGCUUUAGUAUGUUUCUAAUAGAUUUCAAUGUACAUGUUUUUGAUAUAAUUAGUUAUACUUGAUGCUUCUGACCAUUUUCUUCAGACACAAACUCAAAAUGCCUCCCUUUGCCUUCCUUGACAUGACCUUCUUGCUGUUUCUCUGACUCUUCUCAUUCCCUGUCUCUGAAUUUUGCUUCUUAAAUGUGGACAUUCCAUAAUAUCCUUUCCCUGGAGGAUUUUAUCUGCCCACCCUUCCCUAGUCAUAAGCCGCACGCCUCUGUGGAUAACUCCCAUGUUUCUAGUCCUGAUACACUUAUUACUCUCCAGAGCAAUUGCUUACUAGCAUGCCUCUUUCCUUUAUUAGACUGGGAGGUCUUUCAUGGAAGACCCUUUUCUUAUUUCUCCCUGUAUCUCCAGCACCAUCACUAUGUCCGGCCUUCGGAGAAGCUUAGGAAGUGUUUGCAUGAGUGAUGGAAUGAAGGCGUGUGAAUAAAUGACCUUCUUGCAGAGUUUUAGACUUCAGUGUCUU